UGGGGAAUAUUGGACAAUGGGGGAAACCCUGAUCCAGCGACGCCGCGUGUGUGAAGAAGGCCUGCGGGUUGUAAAGCACUUUUAGUGGGGACAAAAAGCCAGGGGCUAACACCAUCUGGUCUUGAUUUAACCCACAGAAAAAGCACCGGCUAACUCUGUGCCAGCAGCCGCGGUAAUACAGAGGGUGCAAGCGUUAAUCGGAAUUACUGGGCGUAAAGCGCGCGUAGACGGUUUUGUAAGUCAGAUGUGAAAUCCCCGGGCUCAACCUGGGAACUGCAUUUGAUACUGCUUGGCUAGAGUACGGUAGAGGGAAGUGGAAUUUCCGGUGUAGCGGUGAAAUGCGUAGAUAUCGGAAGGAACACCAGUGUCGAAAGCGACUUCCUGGACCAGUACUGACGUUCAUGUGCGAAAGCGUGGGGAGCAAACA
rnacentral:rRNA from 1 species